rfam:Pteropus alecto contig40877, whole genome shotgun sequence.
CUGCAAGCCUCCAGCGUGCUUGGGUCUGCGGUGACCCCGUGCAUUCCUACAGCGCUUGCAAGAACAUUUUGAAACGGUUUGAGGCCUUGCCCUGCUGCAUCCAGAGCAAGGUUAUAGAAAUUUCAGACAACU